rnacentral:misc_RNA from 1 species
UCACCGCGAAAUAACAGCAGUACUCCGUCACACGUGGACUGCAACCUCAAUAUUCAACUGUUUUCGUUUUCGUAGUAACCAUAUUACAUAAACAAUAUAUCAUCAUGUCAUCGUAUAAACUAACAUACUUCAACGUAACUGGAUUGGGCGAACCUAUUAGAUUCUUGCUGUCCUACUUGAACAUUGAUUUCGAAGAUGUUCGUUUUGAACUUGAACAAUGGCCAUCGAUCAAACGUAGUAAGUAACCAUAAAUACCAAUUUGUAA